rnacentral:rRNA from 1 species
UGAGCAAUCUGCCCUUCUCUUCGGAAUAAGCGUUGGAAACGACGUCUAAUGCCGAAUACGACCUCCUUUCGCAUGAUCGGAGGUGGAAAGCUCCGGCGGAGAAGGAUGAGCUCGCGGCCUAUCAGCUAGUUGGUGUGGGUAAUUGCCCACCAAGGCGACGACGGGUAGCCGGCCUGAGAGGGUGACCGGCCACACUGGGACUGAGACACGGCCCAGACUCCGUACGGGAGGNAGCG